AGAAGUUAUCUGGAGUUUAUUUAUGCAUCUGUCCAGGGAUUCCUGAGACCUUCAGAAUUAGCAGUGGGGUAUUUCAGGGUGUGGAUUCUCUCAGUCCUCUGUGGGUAUAACUGCACAUCUUUCUUCCCAGCACCUCUGAGCCUGCCAGACCCCAGUGCUCAUUCCUCUCCUGUGUAUGCCUGUGCCCAGAAAGGGCCGUGCCUGCUUGAGCUCCUAAACAGGAAUAUGUAUAAAUCUAGUGCAGCACUAGGCUGAAACUGUGGUUGGAUACUAAGGAUACUGGAAAUUGCGAAGAAAGUCCAUUUAUUUUUCUUAGACAUUUAUUGUUUCUUUAUACAUUGCUCAAUAAUUGAGUGAACUCUUUCAUACAAAGUCUAGUCAACUUCAAAAAAUAUAUUAAGCAGCUUCAGACUCUAUUCCUAUGCUGGCCUUUUUUUCUCAUUUUAUUUUGAAAAUAUUUUCAUUCCAGGGUUGGUGUGGGAAGAACUCCCUGCCCAGAGUUACCACUAGUAAAAUGGAGCAAAGGGCCAACUCCUGUCAAAUCUGGAACAUAAGCAGUGGAAAACUAGAAGUGGCUAAAGUUUAUUUUAAGGAGACUUAAUACAAACCAAGGGACUGAUUAUCAUUUGCACUUUAAGCUUUGUUGCAUGGCUCCUUUAACACAGUGUGGAGUUUGAAAGUGAGUAAAUAUAAACAGAAUUCACAGUGACACACUUCACAGCCUUCUUGCACCCUGUGCCUCUUAUAAAGGAGCCUCACAUUUAAUAAGCAUCUGAUGCCUGGUAUUCUUGUUCUUUCUUUACGUCGUCAUUUCAUAAUGAUGCGACUUAAAAAGCUAUGUAGGAGGUGCCAGAGAACUCCAUGAUUCCACUUGUAAGGAGGAAAUGAUGAACAUGAUGAACUUAAAAGGAAAGAGGGGAAGAGAAAAACGUGGAAAGGUUGCUAAGAUUCAAUCUGGGGGAGAAAAACACUGAAUUUUGUCUAACAUCAGAGAUCCCAGAUUACAACAUCUGAUAAUUUUCGUUUCCUGAAAAGAUAUCUUUAGGCUAGGCUUUUAACAUGCUAGGGAUGCAGGACACCCAAGUAGAUACUUAUUGGCAUUUUCAGAACCACCUGGACACUGAAACUCUGAAUCAGCAUUUUAGAUAGCUGAACAAUGUAUAAUUCAGCCCCCGAUGCUCCUGAGGUUCUCAAGAAAUUAAUUGGAUGUGCGUUGCCAUAAUCAAGGAGAGUGAGGGUUGUUAUGCUAGUCCUUACAGUCUGUCAUUUGUUUUGUCACCAUGUUAUUACUGCUAUUCAAAGUAACUGAUAAGAUAAAUAAAAAUAUGAUACCAUCUUGCUGCAAGAUUUUCUGAAAAUAUUUCAGAACAGAGUCAGUGGGUCUGAAUAUUUUAUGCAAGUCAAAUUAACCUCAUACAUAAAAAGUUUUACUGUCAUGCACAACAAGUGGGCUGCAUAGAAAAAGGUGGGCCAGCAAGUGAUUCUGUCAUCCAGCUACACUGAGUCAUCUAAAGGUGUGAGGGAAAGCAAACCCCUCCAGAUGCAGCCCUAUUGAUUUCCUCAGCUAUGUGCUGUGUGUAGAUGCUGAACUAAAUAAUUUAACAAUGGUCUUAGGUCAACUGAGGUGGAAGUUAGUGGCUGUAUGCCUUUGUAGUGACACAAAGUAACUGUGAGCAAAACUGGGCAAGCUUGGAAAACGCACACUCUGAUGACGAGGUUAAUAUUAUUUUUUUAUUGCACAGCCACAGCCAAACACUGUGAUCCACCAGUUUGCCAGCAGCCACCUUCUCCCACUGCAGAGAGAUUCUCAGGCAUCAUGUUUUCCAGGAAAAGCAUCUCUGUAUAUGCAGCCUUACUGAACUUUCUAAGCAGGAGAAUCCUGAAAUUACGUUUGUUUUUAUUUUGCAAGGCCAAAAUUCCUAUUGCAGGUUCCUCUGGAGAUGGGUGAGUCAGUGCUGAGACAGUUCCUGUACUGCCUGGGUGCAGCACUGAACCACCAAAGAGAGCUGUAGAUGCAGCUGAACCUUCAAGCAUUACAACCGUGGUCUUUAUUAUGGUUGAGGUUUUUGAGGGAAAAGAUUAAAUCAGCUCAUUUCCGAAUGAGAUGUGUGCACUAAUGGCACAUGAAACUUAGUCGUGUGUCUGUUGCUACAGUCAACAUUUUAAAUCCUCUGCAGAUGGAGAGAUUUUUGGAAAUGUUGCUUGCUAAUUGUCCUAUUAUGCUAUGCAAAAAAAAAAUUCAAAAACUCAGUGAUCAGAUAAUUCUCUUAGUUUUUUUCCCUUGUGCUAGAACAUCUUAUUCUGCCUACUGCUGAUGAAUGUGAAUUCAUUCUGGUGUCUAAAAUGUGGUCCAGCUUGAAAAGAGAUAGUAAAACGCAAUAAGAUAACAUGGGGUUAACUUUCCCUGGGGAAUGAACCAGCUAUGAUUUAUUAAAGGGCAGGGCCUGAUUUUCAUGUAUGUGGAAGCUCCUGUGUAUAGCUCUGGUAGUCAGAAGAAGCCACAAUUUAAACAAGAAUGACCAUCUCAGCAGUCAUAAUUGUUUUAUAUAUAUAAACAAUUGCAACAAGUUUAUCACUAGCCAGGAAUUGCCCAGCUGCAACAUUCAGCUCUGAAGUUUAGGAAUAACUAAACAGUUAUUGCUAACCUAAAGUAUGAAGACCAGACCUCCAAAACCUUCUCCAAAGGCUGUUUUUAAAAUGUGAUUUGGAAGUGUUCAUUUGUUAUUUUGAAGAGGACUCAUUUGAGUUCACUUCAUGUACGUUCUGCCUUUUUAGGCCACAGAAAUCACAAAGUGCAGAUUUUUUUUUCUGCUUUUUUUGUUGUAAACAGAAGCUGAGAUGUAGUUGUAUAUUUAUAGGAUUACAAGGCCCAUGACUCUUAAGAUGGCAUGAAGUAUCAUGAGACUUGUGGUAUGUGUGUUUGAGAGUUGGCAAGACUGUAAAGAAUUAUUUUUAUUGCCAGAAUGGUUAAGACAUGACUCUGGUUAUAUGGAAAGUGCAGAACGUACUCAGUAAUGUAAGGCUCUUUUCAUAACAGAACAUUUCAUUAUGUUUAUGCUUGUAAAGUGAAACAAGCAGCAAAGAAAAUGUAGGUCAAGUGCGAUUCAUAGCAAAACAGUUACAGGUUUUAUCUUAAAGGUGCAGUUUAGGUGAUGUUAAGUACUGUUUUCUUUCGUUAAGUGCAAAACUGCAUACCUAGGAGGUUCUCGCCACUGAAGAGGAAGGCAACAUGCAAGCCUUAUGCUAGGAAUUGAAACAUCUGUCGUUUUGAGUCUUUCCCUGAAUGUUAGUUAAGCUUUGGAGAGAUCCUCUUCUUUUCUUGUUUAAGCAUAACCUGCUGUUUAUAGCAAGUGAAAAGGCACUUUGGGGAAAAGAGCUACUGCGCAAAAAGAGAAGUACAAGAGUGUCAUACCAAUUUGGCAGUAUUGCACUUCUCUGUGUGGCAGGCUGCCCAAGAGUCUCAUGCACCAAGUCUCCAAACAGAAGGUGUUUAAGAUGAUGCAUUAGCUUGUGCCCUUGGGCACAGGAAGCAUUGUUGCCUGGGUGCUCCCUCCAUCACUUGCCAGCUCUGUUUCAGACAACCUCCUAGCAUCAGAAUAAACAUCAGUUUUGAGAGAUGCUUCGCAGCGUAAGGCUGGGGAACCAGCAUCUCCAGAGCAGGAGUGAGACAGGAGGAUCUCAAAUGGGUUUAAAUGUGCCUGCCUGGGAAGAGAAGAUUGGGUUCCAGGAGUAAAUCUCAAGAGAGGGUGGAAGGCUCAAAGUGUCAGGAUGUUGUGAGUGCCCAAAUGUCUCUCCUUGGCUCUGUGUCUAGUCUGCAGGCAGAUUUUGCAUCUUUUCUUCUGCAUUGUCGAGAGAAUUACAUAUCAAGUUCCACCUCCAGGGUCGCAUCAUAUUUGCACUAACGCCAGGAAGACAAGGAAAUGCUUUAGCUCUUCCUGACGGCUUCACUGCAGCAGAUGCAGAAAAAGAGAAAACCCAGCAUGACUUCCAGGUCUGAGCAGGGCUGAUGUCAAACAAAAGCACCUUUAUAGGUAAAAUGUACGUGCGCCAAAUGCCUGUACACUUCAUGGCUGGUGCAACCAUGAAGCAUUUCCGCUUCUGGGUUGAUUUCCCUGUUUUCUGAUGCAUCACGUUAAUAAAAUCCAGGUUCCUCCUCGGAAACAUGGCUUGUGAAAGCGCCUGCAAUGCCUGUCCCCAGGGCGGGAACUGAGGAACUGAACUGCAGGAGGCUCGGUGUACUUUGGCAGAUGUUUACAACAUGUCACCUUAUAAAAUCACAUGGAAAGGUUGGCGUGAAUUCCUGUUAAUGCCUUUCCUUUCUUGUGUUGCUGUUGGCUUUCAGCAUGUGUGGAGCGAAAGUGAGGACUGCUUACCUUUUCUGCAGCUCGCACAGGACUACAUCUCCUCCUGUGGGAAAAAGACACUCCAUGAAAUACUGGAAAAAGUCUUCAAAUCCUUCAGACCCUUACUUGGGCUUCCAGAUGUUGAUGAUGAUGCAUUUGAAGAAUAUAACGCAGAUGUGGAAGAAGAGGAACCAGAAGCCGAUCACCAACAGAUGGGUGUCAGUCAGCAGUGAUUUUCUGAGAAGCUAUAAAAAAAUUCGGAAGCCUUUGGUACCAGGUGGGGUCAGGUGGUCCCACAUUAGCCUGUUUGAAUUAGCACAUCACAGGGGGAUGUCUGGCUGCCAAGAUAAAAGUUUUACAAAAAAAUGGUUUUAAAAAAACAAAAUAAUAAUAAUCCGUGAUGAGCUUUGCUAAGAAGUGACCUGAAUUUUGCUCCUGCUUCAGUGGGUUUUCUAUGGAGUUGUCUUGGUAGCAUUCUGCCGUUAUCAGUCUAGAAGUAGUUUUGUUGCUGACUUGUCUCUUUGAUUUGUGUUCGAGAGUAGUGUUUGCUGACAUGAAUGUAGAGUACUGAGAAUGUAGGAGGCAUGUGGGGAGAGUGCUGAGUCCUCACUCGUGACCUUUCCAAGGAAAUCUGCGCAGAGAGCAAACACCACCUGCGCUUUUCUUUUUAGUUCAACAGCUAUAGGUUUUUGACAAAGUACCAAAUGUGGGCAAACUUCUGAAAAACAGUAGUUUAGUAGUGAUUGGUGCUGCAGGAGUGCAUAUGAAGGCUUAACAAAAAUAAUGGGGAGUAGGAAAUCGGGGGAGCAUCAGACAUAUUGAUGUAAUUUCACUGACACCUGAGUUUCCAAGUGCUGAAUGAAUAACUGGGAGUAACAGCCACCAGGAGCACGCAUUAUAACCAGCCCUGGUACUCUGACACCAUGUGAUCCAAAGGCAAGUGCUGCUUUCUUACAAAUAAAGUAAAAAAUAGCCGUUGCCUAUCCCACUUCUGCAUGACAACUAACUUUAAGCUUUGCUGGUUUUGGUACACUGCCAAAUUAUUGCUCAAACCUCGUGGCAUUGUGCAUUGGAAUCAUAGAAUAUGCUGAGUUGGAAGAGACCCAUCAGGAUCCUUGAGUCCAACUCUUGGCCCUGCACAGGCACCCUAAGAGUCACACCACGUGCCUGAGAGCAUUGAGUCCAAAUGCUUCUUGAAUUCUGUCGGGUUUGUGCUGUGACCAGUUCCCUGGGGAGCCUGUUCCAGUGCCCAACCACUCAGGAACCUUUUCCUGAUAUCCAGC